rnacentral:rRNA from 1 species
GACGAACGCUGGCGGCGUGCUUAACACAUGCAAGUCGAACGGAAAGGCCUGCUUUCCCUUGUGGAUUGCGGGUACUCGAGUGGCGAACGGGUGAGUAACACGUGAGUGAUCUGCCCCCAACUUGGGUAUAAGCCUGGGAAACUGGGUCUAAUUCCCGAUAGGACUGCAGGGUGGUGCCUGUGGUGGAAAACGAUUUUCUAGUGGUUGGGGAUGAGCUCGCGGCCUAUCAGCUUGUUGGUGGGGUAAUGGCCUACCAAGGCGGCGACGGGUAGCCGGCCUGGGAGGGUGGACGGCCACAUUGGGACUGAGAUACGGCCCAGACUCCUACGGGAGGAAGCAGUGGGGAAUAUUGCACAAUGGGCGGAAGCCUGAUGCAGCGACGCCGCGUGGGGGAUGACGGCCUUCGGGUUGUAGACUCCUUUCGACCGCGAGGAAGCCACCUGGUUGGAAGGGUGGUGACGGUAGUGGUAGAAGAAGCACCGGCUAACUACGUG